CGUGAGGAGAGUAAGACAACUUCAGCUUCUGCCGCGUGAGUAAGCUUCCAGUAGAGGAUUUGAGACCAAAGGUGCUCGGAAGUAGUACUAGAUUGUUUACUUUUAUGAAUGUAAUUCGAGUUAAACAUUGUAGUUUUGCCUUAGGUUGCCACUUGAAGUUGGAAAAGUGUAAACCCUGGAUUUGUAUGUGGCUUGUAUGAAUUUGCUACUUGGCUUGUAAGGAUGUAUUUGAAUUGAUGUUUUGUUUCUUGGGUUGUAUUCGGGAAGGUAUUUUAAGAA